rnacentral:rRNA from 1 species
CGCGUAGGCGGCUUGGCAAGUCAGAUGUGAAAUCCCCGGGCUUAACUUGGGAAUUGCAUCUGAAACUGUUGAGCUUGAGUCCUGGAGGGGAUAGUGGAAUUCCCAGUGUAGCGGUGAAAUGCGUAGAUAUUGGGAGGAACACCUGUGGCGAAGGCGGCUAUCUGGACAGUGACUGACGCUGAGGCGCGAAAGCUAGGGGAGCGAACG